rnacentral:lncRNA from 10 species
GUUCCUCCGGGUGGUGUGAGUCAGAGGUAACCUUUGACAAUGCCCACUCUUUGAAAUGGUCCAUCCAAGGGAUUUCAAGAGGUCAGCAUCUUGUGUCAGGUAUUUUAUAAAGGAGCCUUCUUUCCUACAUGUGGAGCCCAGCUGGGGAGAAGUAUGUUAAGAAGCCAGCCUUGAAAUACCCAUAUGACACAUCAUCAAUUCAAGACCAGUCCUCACUUUUCUGCCACUUCGUUAGGGGAUUUUUUCAGACACUGUGGGACAGGAGGCCUUGAGAGGGGUCAGUGCUCUUUCUAUCAGGAGUUCAAUGAAAAGUCUUAUCUUUGCCAGCCUCAAAAAUAAGGUCAAGAAGAAACAGUCUCUCGGUUUACAGUUGGACAGUUGUAGCCUCAAGAACAAAUGAGGUAUUAAUAUUAGCUAGGAAUCUCUGACAAGGACCAGAACUUGCAUCCUCAGAUAUCUUCAGUGUUGUGGGUCUUCAGCACAGCCUUGAAGAUAAUUCCUAAAAAGGCUCAGUCCACAAAAAUAUCACCAACUUCAAAACAAAUUCACAUCACAUCAUUAUUGCUCAGGAACAAAUGCUUCAGAUAAAAGUAGAAAAGCCAGAUAACUCAAACUACAGAGGAAGAAAUGAGACCUCAAACUUUUGCUGCCACUUGGGAACAACAUUUUUUUUUUUAGAUAGGGUCUCACUCUGUCACCCAGGCUAGAGUGCAGUAGAGCAGUCUCGGCUCACUGCAGCCUUGACCUCCCAGGCCUAGGUAACACUCCCACCUCAGCUUCCCGGGUAGCUGGGACUACAGGCAUGCGCCA